rnacentral:rRNA from 1 species
ACGGAAGGCAGCAGUGGGGAAUAUUGCACGAUGGGGGAAACCCUGAUGCAGCAACGCCGCGUGAGUGAUGACGGCCUUCGGGUUGUAAAGCUCUGUCUUUAGGGACGAUAAUGACGGUACCUAAGGAGGAAGCCACGGCUAACUACGUGCCAGCAGCCGCGGUAAUACGUAGGUGGCAAGCGUUGUCCGGAUUUACUGGGCGUAAAGGGAGCGUAGGCGGACUCUUAAGUGGGAUGUGAAAUACCCGGGCUCAACCUGGGUGCUGCAUUCCAAAAUGGGAGUCUAGAGUGCAGGAGGGGACAGUGGAAUUCCUAGUGUAGCUGUGAAAUGCGUAGAGAUUAGGAAGAACACCCGUGGCGAAGGCGACUUUCUGGACUGUAACUGACGCUGAGGCUCGAAAGCAUGGGGAGCAAACAGGAUUAGAUACCCUGGUA